rnacentral:rRNA from 1 species
GACGAACGCUGGCGGCGUGCUUAACACAUGCAAGUCGAACGGAAAGGCCCUGCUUUUGUGCGGUGCUCGAGUGGCGAACGGGUGAGUAACACGUGAGUAUCCUGCCCUUGUCUUUCGGAUAACUUCACGAAACUGGGGCUAAUAUCGGAUAGGAUCUCCUGCUCCAUGGUGGGGGUUGGAAAGUUUCGGCUGUUGUGGAUGGACUCGCGGCUUAUCAGCUUGUUGGUGGGGUAGUUGCUUACCAAGCCUUUGACGGCUAGGCCGCCUGAGAGGGGGAACGGGGACAAUAGGACUGCGAGACGGCCCAGUCUGCUACGGUAGGCAGCAGUGGGGAAUAUGGCACAAUGAGCGCAAGCGUGAUACAGCAACGUCGCGUGCGGGAUGCCGUCCUUCGGGGUGUAAACCGCUGUCGCCUGAGACGAAGCGUGAGUGACGGUAAUGGGUAAAGAAGCACCGGCUAACUACGUG